AUUGAACGCUGGCGGCAUGCUUUACACAUGCAAGUCGGACGGCAGCAUAAAAGAGCUUGCUCUUUUGAUGGCGAGUGGCGAACGGGUGAGUAAUGCAUCGGAACGUACCGAGUAGUGGGGGAUAACUGUCCGAAAGGAUGGCUAAUACCGCAUAUUCUCUGAGGAGGAAAGCAGGGGACCUUAGGGCCUUGCGCUAUUUGAGCGGCCGAUGUCUGAUUAGCUAGUUGGUGGGGUAAGAGCCCACCAAGGCGACGAUCAGUAGCGGGUCUGAGAGGAUGAUCCGCCACACUGGGACUGAGACACGGCCCAGACUCCUACGGGAGGCAGCAGUGGGGAAUUUUGGACAAUGGGCGCAAGCCUGAUCCAGCCAUGCCGCGUGUAUGAAGAAGGCCUUCGGGUUGUAAAGUACUUUUGUCAGGGAAGAAAAGCCUGAGGAUAACACCCUCAGGUCAUGACGGUACCUGAAGAAUAAGCACCGGCUAACUACGUGCCAGCAGCCGCGGUAAUACGUAGGGUGCGAGCGUUAAUCGGAAUUACUGGGCGUAAAGCGAGCGCAGACGGUUAUUUAAGCAAGAUGUGAAAGCCCCGGGCUCAACCUGGGAACUGCGUUUUGAACUGGGUAACUAGAGUGUGUCAGGGGGGGGUAGAAUUCCACGUGUAGCAGUGAAAUGCGUAGAGAUGUGGAGGAAUACCGAUGGCGAAGGCAGCCCCCUGGGAUAACACUGACGUUCAUGCUCGAAAGCGUGGGUAGCAAACAGG
rnacentral:rRNA from 1 species